rnacentral:rRNA from 1 species
AUUGAACGCUGGCGGCAGGCCUAACACAUGCAAGUCGAGCGGAGCGGCGGACGGGUGAGUAAUGCAUAGGAAGCUGCCUGGUCGUGGGGGAUAGCAUCCGGAAAGGGGCGCUAAUACCGCAUACUUUCAGAUGUGCCUUGGUCGGAGUAGCUAGUUGGUGUGGUAAAGGCCUAACAAGGCGACGAUCCGUAGCAGGGCUGAGAGGAUGAUCAGACACACUGGAACUGAGACACGGUCCAGACUCCUACGGGAGGCAGCAGUGGGGAAUAUUGCACAAUGGGCGAAAGCCUGAUCCAGCCAUGCCGCGUGAGUGAAGAAGGUCUUCGGAUCGUAAAACACUUUUAGUUGGGAGGCGUUACCUACAGAGAAAGCAACGGCUAACUGCGUGCCAGCAGCCGCGGUAAUAC